rnacentral:tRNA from 1 species
GCCUGGGUGGCUAAGUCGGCUAAGCGUCUGACUUUGGCUCAGGUCAUGAUCUCACGGUUUGUGAGUUCAAGUCGCAUGUUAGGCU